rnacentral:rRNA from 1 species
CGACUUAUAUUCUGUAGCAAGGUUAACCGUAUAGGGGAGCCGCAGGGAAACCGAGUCUUAACUGGGCGUUAAGUUGCAGGGUAUAGACCCGAAACCCGGUGAUCUAGCCAUGGGCAGGUUGAAGGUUGGGUAACACUAACUGGAGGACCGAACCGACUAAUGUUGAAAAAUUAGCGGAUGACUUGUGGCUGGGGGUGAAAGGCCAAUCAAACCGGGAGAUAGCUGGUUCUCCCCGAAAGCUAUUUAGGUAGCGCCUCGUGAAUUCAUCUUCGGGGGUAGAGCACUGUUUCGGCUAGGGGGUCAUCCCGACUUACCAACCCGAUGCAAACUACGAAUACCGAAGAAUGUUAUCACGGGAGACACACGGCGGGUGCUAACGUCCGUCGUGAAGAGGGAAACAACCCAGACCGCCAGCUAAGGUCCCAAAGUCAUGGUUAAGUGGGAAACGAUGUGGGAAGGCACAGACAGCCAGGAUGUUGGCUUAGAAGCAGCCAUCAUUUAAAGAAAGCGUAAUAGCUCACUGGUCGAGUCGGCCUGCGCGGAAGAUGUAACGGGGCUAAACCAUGCACCGAAGCUGCGGCAGCGACACUAUGUGUUGUUGGGUAGGGGAGCGUUCUGUAAGCCUGCGAAGGUGACCUGUGAGGGUUGCUGGAGGUAUCAGAAGUGCGAAUGCUGACAUAAGUAACGAUAAAGCGGGUGAAAAGCCCGCUCGCCGGAAGACCAAGGGUUCCUGUCCAACGUUAAUCGGGGCAGGGUGAGUCGACCCCUAAGGCGNCGAUUGACGUUACCCGCAGAAGAAGCACCGGCUAACUCCGUGCCAGCAGCCGCGGUAAUACGGAGGGUGCAAGCGUUAAUCGGAAUUACUGGGCGUAAAGCGCACGCAGGCGGUCUGUCAAGUCGGAUGUGAAAUCCCCGGGCUCAACCUGGGAACUGCAUUCGAAACUGGCAGGCUAGAGUCUUGUAGAGGGGGGUAGAAUUCCAGGUGUAGCGGUGAAAUGCGUAGAGAUCUGGAGGAAUACCGGUGGCGAAGGCGGCCCCCUGGACAAAGACUGACGCUCAGGUGCGAAAGCGUGGGGAGCAAACAGGAUUAGAUACCCUGGUAGUCCACGCCGUAAACGAUGUCGAUUUGGAGGUUGUGCCCUUGAGGCGUGGCUUCCGGAGCUAACGCGUUAAAUCGACCGCCUGGGGAGUACGGCCGCAAGGUUAAAACUCAAAUGAAUUGACGGGGGCCCGCACAAGCGGUGGAGCAUGUGGUUUAAUUCGAUGCAACGCGAAGAACCUUACCUGGUCUUGACAUCCACAGAACUUUCCAGAGAUGGAUUGGUGCCUUCGGGAACUGUGAGACAGGUGCUGCAUGGCUGUCGUCAGCUCGUGUUGUGAAAUGUUGGGUUAAGUCCCGCAACGAGCGCAACCCUUAUCCUUUGUUGCCAGCGGUCCGGCCGGGAACUCAAAGGAGACUGCCAGUGAUAAACUGGAGGAAGGUGGGGAUGACGUCAAGUCAUCAUGGCCCUUACGACCAGGGCUACACACGUGCUACAAUGGCAUAUACAAAGAGAAGCGACCUCGCGAGAGCAAGCGGACCUCAUAAAGUAUGUCGUAGUCCGGAUUGGAGUCUGCAACUCGACUCCAUGAAGUCGGAAUCGCUAGUAAUCGUAGAUCAGAAUGCUACGGUGAAUACGUUCCCGGGCCUUGUACACACCGCCCGUCACACCAUGGGAGUGGGUUGCAAAAGAAGUAGGUAGCUUAACCUUCGGGAGGGCGCUUACCACUUUGUGAUUCAUGACUGGGGUGAAGUCGUAACAAGGUAACCGUAGGGGAACCUGCGGUUGGAUCACCU